GAUGAACGCUAGCGGGAGGCCUAACACAUGCAAGCCGAGCGGUAUUGUUUCUUCGGAAAUGAGAGAGCGGCGUACGGGUGCGUAACACGUGUGCAACCUGCCUUUCUCUGGGGGAUAGCCUUUCGAAAGGAAGAUUAAUACUCAUAAUAUAUUGAACGGCAUCGUUUAAUAUUGAAAGCUCCGGCGUAUAGAGAUGGGCACGCGCAAGAUUAGCUAGUUGGUGAGGUAACGGCUCACCAAGGCGAUGAUCUUUAGGGGGCCUGAGAGGGUGAUCCCCCACACUGGUACUGGGACACGGACCAGGCUCCUACGGGAGGCAGCAGUGAGGAAUAUUGGUCAAUGGGUGCAAGCCUGAACCAGCCAUCCCGCGUGAAGGACGACUGCCCUAUGGGUUGUAAACUUCUUUUGUAUAGGGAUAAAACUACCCUCGUGAGGGUAGCUGAAGGUACUAUACGAAUAAGCACCGGCUAACUCCGUGCCAGCAGCCGCAGUAACAC
rnacentral:rRNA from 1 species